AGAGUGAGAAAUGAUAUCGUAAACUCGACGCAAAGAACGGGAAUCAAGAAUCGUCGCCGGUUGUAUGGUGUUUUGUUCUGUUGGAGAAUAUCGCAGCAUUCGUCGACGGUCAUAUCCGGGCAAAGCCCGGAUGUAAUACAUCUCGCAUUCGUUGAAAAAAGUGAUCAAAAGCAUAUAGGACGAAGCCCUCGGGAAGAUUAUAAAUACCUUUGCAAAAAGUUUUGUUUCUUUAGUGAAUUUACUGUAAAGUGGCAGAGAGAGGGCUACAAGUUUGUGCGUGUGUGCAUUUUUAUCGCAGCAAAGUUGUUCCGCCGGCGAUCGUUUCCAGUAUCAAGCAGGGAUGCCAGAUACAUUUUUAAUAAGCCGUGUCAGUGAAAAACAAAAAAAAAGAAAGUUUAUUCAUUUGGCGAGAAAAGGAUGUAACCUUGCUCAAUGGUGACAGUUCCGAAUCCAGCUUCCAGUGUAAACAAAAGUGACAGUCGGUUCUUCUAGUGCAGGCGGACUGUUGAAGAGUAUUUUUUCAAUUUGUUUUCGUUCCGGUUACGGCAGAGAAGAGUGUACCAUCGUAGAAAAACACACCCAUAAGUACCUACCUAAGUAACUUCACAGAAAAGGCAGUGUGUGAGAAAGUGGCCUGCAGAACCAUCGACAACAAUCAGGACCAUGAUGCCCACCUUGUGUCCGUCCAGCGUGCCAUGGAUCGUUCUAAAUCGUGAACACAAGUUUGGAAGCAGGUAUACCGAGUACGGGAACAGCGUGCAAUAGUUGAGUUGUUGGGUUCAGAGCAGAAGCACUAACAGUAGCAGUAGCUAUCGUGUUGUCAGCGGAAAGAAUUUCUCUAAUCGAACAGUUGAAAGAGUAGCUGCAUCGACGUCGGACGGCACAACAAAAACUAACCACAACAACAGCAGCAGACACAAUAAGGUCAACCACCACAUAUAAGUGAAUCUUCCUGAAUCACCGCAAAGGAAGCUUUUUUGUUGUUCCUUAAAAGAUAAAGCGUCGCCAAUCCGGAAGAAAAGGAACAUAGAAGUAUUAAACCAGAAGACACGUUUCAGAACCAGGAAAAAAAACUUGCAUUGUUCUUUGAAGAAUCGAGCGUCGCUUAGCCACAGACGUAGAUAAAAUAAAAGCAUCUGCAACAUAACGCUGUGUGAUAAGAGAACUCUUCGAAUAUGUCAAUUGGGACAGGCUACGAGAAGGCGGACUCUAGAAACCUGCCGUCAAUAAUGGAAGAUACUGUGAUUAAUUUUUUCACAUCAAAUCCAAAUUUCGUGACUUCAGAAUCUAGACAAGUGAAGAUGCAAAGAUCUGGUAGAAAGAAUUACGGCGAUAUGGCAGUUGGGUUUGUAAAACUUCAGCGGUUUGGAGAAAAAUGCAGAAUUAUAGCGAGUGUGGUUCCAGAGCAUAGAGUAAAUCAACGCUCGUAUGAAGUAUCACUAGUCAUUAAUGAAGCAAAUGAAUUGAUAGAAGAUUUCUCCUGUGAAUGUGAGGCCAACAUGGGUGGCUGCAAGCAUGUUUCGGUUUUCAUAUUUUGGAUUUUUCGGAGAAAUGAAACACCAGCUUCCACAGAGGUAGAAUGUUACUGGAAUGCAGCCCCAAUGACAGCAGCAGCUCGGAAAAAAGGUGUACUAUGGGCAAAUGAAAUAGUAUUUUCAAAGAAUACUCCAAGUACCCUUGAUAAUGACCAAGAAAACGAGGAUGGUACAGAUCGAGUUUUAAAGAAACAAAUUGAUCCUUUAAAAAAUCUAGAUAUUACCACAGAUAACAGAUAUUUAAGCUAGAACAAAUUUUAUUGAAAAUCCUGUGUAAACUUUUGAAUUGAUAUACGUUGGC